CUUGCUACCAGGGCUGCCGUCUGACGACACGCAGGAGCUCGGCGACGACGACCCGCUGUCGUCAUGGCCGUCCACCUCCAUCCCCACCGGCGGCGACAGGUUCAGCUGCAGCUCCAGCCUCCCGCCGUUCCUCACGCCGCCGUUGCCAUUGCUGCGGUCCAUGACUCACAGACAAUCACACUGCACAAACAAGAAUAUGCAUAUUAGAUAACAAAACAAGAUUUCCUCUUCAGGUGGGCAGAACAGAGGCACUGCUGCAUAACAUACUCCUACGUGAGGAAGAACACAAGGAAAAGCAGAGUUGCUACCUGAAUCCCGUGAAGAGGAGAGGAGAGAAAGAGUUGAGCAACUGCUGCGAUGUGUAUUUGGUUGAGGACUUUGAAAGGCCCGAAGGUCUUUAUAUAG
rnacentral:lncRNA from 1 species